rnacentral:rRNA from 1 species
UGGGGAAUUUUGGACAAUGGGCGAAAGCCUGAUCCAGCAAUGCCGCGUGUGUGAAGAAGGCCUUCGGGUUGUAAAGCACUUUUGUCCGGAAAGAAAUCCUUGGCUCUAAUACAGUCGGGGGAUGACGGUACCGGAAGAAUAAGCACCGGCUAACUACGUGCCAGCAGCCGCGGUAAUACGUAGGGUGCAAGCGUUAAUCGGAAUUACUGGGCGUAAAGCGUGCGCAGGCGGUUUGCUAAGACCGAUGUGAAAUCCCCGGGCUCAACCUGGGAACUGCAUUGGUGACUGGCAGGCUAGAGUAUGGCAGAGGGGGGUAGAAUUCCACGUGUAGCAGUGAAAUGCGUAGAGAUGUGGAGGAAUACCGAUGGCGAAGGCAGCCCCCUGGGCCAAUACUGACGCUCAUGCACGAAAGCGUGGGGGAGCAAAACAGGAUUAGAUACCCUGGGUAGUCCACGCCCUAAANGAUGUCAACUAGUUGUUGGGGAUUCAUUUCCUUAGUAACGUAGCUAACGCGUGAAGUUGACCGCCUGGGGAGUACGGUCGCAAGAUUAAAACUU